rnacentral:rRNA from 1 species
GAUGAACGCUGGCGGCGUGCCUAAUACAUGCAAGUCGAGCGAACAGACGAGGAGCUUGCUCCUCUGACGUUAGCGGCGGACGGGUGAGUAACACGUGGAUAACCUACCUAUAAGACUGGGAUAACUUCGGGAAACCGGAGCUAAUACCGGAUAACAUGUUGAACCGCAUGGUUCAACAGUGAAAGACGGUUUUGCUGUCACUUAUAGAUGGAUCCGCGUCGCAUUAGCUAGUUGGUAAGGUAACGGCUUACCAAGGCAACGAUGCGUAGCCGACCUGAGAGGGUGAUCAGCCACACUGGAACUGAGACACGGUCCAGACUCCUACGGGAGGCAGCAGUAGGGAAUCUUCCGCAAUGGGCGAAAGCCUGACGGAGCCACGCCGCGUGAGUGAAGAAGGUCUUCGGAUCGUAAAGCUCUGUUAUUAGGGAAGAACAAAUGUGUAAGUAACUAUGCCCGUCUUGACGGUACCUACUCAGAAAGCCCCGGCUAACUACGUG